ACACUCCUGCGGGAGGCAGCAGUGGGGAAUAUUGGACAAUGGGCGCAAGCCUGAUCCAGCCAUGCCGCGUGAGUGAUGAAGGCCCUAGGGUUGUAAAGCUCUUUCACCGGUGAAGAUAAUGACGGUAACCGGAGAAGAAGCCCCGGCUAACUUCGUGCCAGCAGCCGCGGUAAUACGAAGGAGGCUAGCGUUGUUCGGAUUUACUGGGCGUAAAGCGCACGUAGGCGGACUAUUAAGUCAGGGGUGAAAUCCCGGGGCUCAACCCCGGAACUGCCUUUGAUACUGGUAGUCUUGAGUUCGAGAGAGGUGAGUGGAAUUCCGAGUGUAGAGGUGAAAUUCGUAGAUAUUCGGAGGAACACCAGUGGCGAAGGCGGCUCACUGGCUCGAUACUGACGCUGAGGUGCGAAAGCGUGGGGAGCAAACAGGAUUAGAUACCCCAGUAGUCCCA
rnacentral:rRNA from 1 species